rnacentral:rRNA from 1 species
UCCUGACUGACCGAUAGUGAACCAGUACCGUGAGGGAAAGGCGAAAAGAACCCCGGCGAGGGGAGUGAAAAAGAACCUGAAACCGUGUACGUACAAGCAGUGGGAGCACGCUUAGGCGUGUGACUGCGUACCUUUUGUAUAAUGGGUCAGCGACUUAUAUUCUGUAGCAAGGUUAACCGAAUAGGGGAGCCGAAGGGAAACCGAGUCUUAACUGGGCGUUAAGUUGCAGGGUAUAGACCCGAAACCCGGUGAUCUAGCCAUGGGCAGGUUGAAGGUUGGGUAACACUAACUGGAGGACCGAACCGACUAAUGUUGAAAAAUUAGCGGAUGACUUGUGGCUGGGGGUGAAAGGCCAAUCAAACCGGGAGAUAGCUGGUUCUCCCCGAAAGCUAUUUAGGUAGCGCCUCGUGAAUUCAUCUCCGGGGGUAGAGCACUGUUUCGGCAAGGGGGUCAUCCCGACUUACCGACCCGAUGCAAACUGCGAAUACCGGAGAAUGUUAUCACGGGAGACACACGGCGGGUGCUAACGUCCGUCGUGAAGAGGGAAACAACCCAGACCGCCAGCUAAGGUCCCAAAGUCAUGGUUAAGUGGGAAACGAUGUGGGAAGGCCCAGACAGCCAGGAUGUUGGCUUAGAAGCAGCCAUCAUUUAAAGAAAGCGUAAUAGCUCACUGGUCGAGUCGGCCUGCGCGGAAGAUGUAACGGGGCUAAACCAUGCACCGAAGCUGCGGCAGCGACGCUUAUGCGUUGUUGGGUAGGGGAGCGUUCUGUAAGCCUGCGAAGGUGUGCUGUGAGGCAUGCUGGAGGUAUCAGAAGUGCGAAUGCUGACAUAAGUAACGAUAAAGCGGGUGAAAAGCCCGCUCGCCGGAAGACCAAGGGUUCCUGUCCAACGUUAAUCGGGGCAGGGUGAGUCGACCCCUAAGGCGAGGCCGAAAGGCGUAGUCGAUGGGAAACAGGUUAAUAUUCCUGUACUUGGUGUUACUGCGAAGGGGGGACGGAGAAGGCUAUGUUGGCCGGGCGACGGUUGUCCCGGUUUAAGCGUGUAGGCUGGUUUUCCAGGCAAAUCCGGAAAAUCAAGGCUGAGGCGUGAUGACGAGGCACUACGGUGCUGAAGCAACAAAUGCCCUGCUUCCAGGAAAAGCCUCUAAGCAUCAGGUAACAUCAAAUCGUACCCCAAACCGACACAGGUGGUCAGGUAGAGAAUACCAAGGCGCUUGAGAGAACUCGGGUGAAGGAACUAGGCAAAAUGGUGCCGUAACUUCGGGAGAAGGCACGCUGAUAUGUAGGUGAAGUCCCUUGCGGAUGGAG